rnacentral:misc_RNA from 1 species
AAGAGCUCCCGUAAAAGUCUCUAACGAUGGUUGCACCAAUGACUUUUUAAUGGUUGGUCUUUCCACAAAGGACAUGCCAGUGACCAAAGCCGAUUCAAUAGAUGUUUUAUGUGAUUAUAUCAUGGCAAUAGAAGACGAUACGACACUAGAGAGAACAUGGGUGCGAAGUUUCAAUCCUUUUAAGAUAGAAAUAUCUGUCAAAGACCUGCAAAACAUAUUAACGACAACUCAAGAUAUGAUUCUAAGAUGUUUUGAUAUGGCUGUUCGACUGCUUGCCAAUAAAGAGUCACGUAGACCGAAAGAAGAAAUCAUAAAUAAUAGAAAGCAUUAUAUGGACAUGCGUUUUUGGAGAAUGGUUGGUUUUGGUAAACUUCCAAAGUACCAUCAGGAUCCUACAACAGAAGAGUUAGCCAAAACACUCGAUUGUUGGCCAUCAAUGAAUUAUUAUAUCACGGGUUGUAGAUAUGUUCUCAUGCCAUGGAAAUUCAAUGGAUGUCACGCCCUUUUCGUAAUAGAUCAUGUUAAAAAGCAUGUGACUUUUAUCGAUUUUACAC